rfam:Schistosoma margrebowiei strain Zambia genome assembly, scaffold: SMRZ_scaffold0001408
AUCCAGCUGACGAGUCCCAAAUAGAGCGAAACGCUCGUUAAACUGAAU